GAAUUUGACACACUUGGAGUCUCCGGGUGGUUCCAGAAGUUUGGAGUCUCCCGAAGUCAGAUCUGGUCAUGGCACUGAGGCUUCUGAUUGGAUUCCUGAUGAUCUUCCCUUCAUGUGUUUCUUCCCAGAUCACCCUCACAGAGUCUGGAGGUGGAGUGAAGAGGCCGGGAGAGACCAUUCAGCUGACCUGUACUGUUUCUGGGUUUUCGCUAUCCAGCUACCACAUGAGCUGGGUCCGUCAGCCCCCAGGAAAGGGACUGGAGUGGACUGCAGUUGUUGAGUAUGAUGGUGACCUGUACUAUAACAGUGCUCUGAAGAACCGGCUCACCAUCUCGAGGGACACCUCCAAGGGCCAGGUGUUCCUGCAAGUCCGUGACCUGAAGCCUGAGGAUUCCGGCCUGUAUUACUGUGCAAGAGACACAGUGAGGAAGCUCACCAUCUCGAGGGACACCUCCAAAAACCAGGUGUUCCUGCAAGUGCGUGAGCUGAAGCCUGAGGGCUCCGCCGUGUAUUACUGUGCAAGAGUCGCACACUACACCAUGAGCUGGGCCCAUCAAGCCUCAGGAAAGGAUUUGAAGUGGGCAGCAGGUAUUGGGUAUGACGGUGCUCUCUUCUAUAACACUGGUCUGAGAAACCGGCUCACCAUCUCGAGGGGCACCUCCAAGGGCCAAGUGUUCCUGCAAGUGCGUGACCUGAAGCCUGAAGACUCCACCGUGUAUUCCUGA